CAGGCCCUACACCCAGGGCACCGAUGUGUACCCAGGUCCACAGGUGUGACCCCAAGGUCAGGCCCUACACCCAGGGCUCCGAUGUGUACCCAGGUCCACAGGUGUGACCCCAAGGUCAGGCCCUACACCCAGGGCUCCGAUGUGUACCCAGAUCCACAGGCGUGACCCCAAGGUCAGACCUUACACCCAGGGCUCCGACCCUGCUGCUUGGACCUGACAGCUGUGGGGAUGGCCAGGCAGCUUCUCCUGGACAUCAGGGGA